rnacentral:rRNA from 1 species
UACGUAGGGUGCAAGCGUUAAUCGGAAUUACUGGGCGUAAAGCGUGCGCAGGCGGUUGGGCAAGACAGAUGUGAAAUCCCCGGGCUUAACCUGGGAAUUGCAUUUGUGACUGCACGGCUAGAGUGUGUCAGAGGGGGGUAGAAUUCCACGUGUAGCAGUGAAAUGCGUAGAUAUGUGGAGGAAUACCGAUGGCGAAGGCAGCCCCCUGGGAUAACACUGACGCUCAUGCACGAAAGCGUGGGGAGCAAACAGG